GUAGGGGUUGGAAUAUUAGGCCUAGCAUGCUCUAACGCCUGUUUAUAAGCAUUAUAAACAGAGUGAGCAUUCACUGUAAUUGAAGCUUUCGCAUCAGAUAGUGUAGCCAUUUCUCUUCUUCAAGAUCUAAAGCUUGAUAAAUAGUAGAAUACCAAAAGUUAGGACCUCCUACUUUCNNNNNNGUUGGAAUAUUAGGCCUAGCAUGCUCUAACGCCUGUUUAUAAGCAUUAUAAACAGUUUGAGCAUUCACUGUAAUUGAUGCUUUCGCAUCAGAUAGUAUGGCCAUUUCUUCUUCUUCAAGAUCUAAAGCUUGAUAAAUAGUAGAAUACCAAAAGUUAGGUCCUCCUACUUUCAUAGUAGGAUUUAACAAAGCAGCCACACCAAAUAUAGGAGGGAUUGGGAAAAAAUAUUUUUUAAACUUCUUUUUCAUUUCAGUAAUUGCAAUUUCAUAAAUUUCCUCUCCCUCGUUAAAAUCAUCAAACAAAUUAGCAAAUGCGGUAAUAUAAACUAAACAGUUAGAAAUAGUUGGAUAAUAUUGGCCAGAUAAAGCAGUUGU
rnacentral:lncRNA from 1 species